UUGCUGAUCUCCGCCUUCAUCUUAAUUAAGCUCUUUAAUUGCAUUUCAUUUCAUACUUCAUACUCCCCAUUUAUGUGGUUCAACAUAAAUUGUGAAUUUGAAUAUUCUACUAGCUGAGGUGUCUUAUUUUUUCUUGGAAUCAUAGGCUGGAGACUAAGGCUCCAUACAAUUUUUUUAUUAUUUGUUACUAGCAAUAAUUGUUAGAACCUUUUGUGAUUAUUAUUUCAGGUGGGCUAUUCAAAAUCAUUUCUAUCCCUAAGACUUGCUUACUUAAUGGUCCGUCCACAUAUAAGGUCUAGGGCUAUUGUUGCAUCUUUGAAGCUUUUUUCUUGUCGCUCGCCCAAAAAUCUAUUAGCGCUUGAGCUUAGAUGGCCAUUCAUGGUGUGCGGGUGAUGUGGAACUCGCUUGAUUCUUCCAACCAUUUCAAAAAUCUGCCUAAGUGAUUUGUCUUAGCACUUAUGACUUUGAGUGGAUGAUCAAUGACAACUUGGGUCGAGCGUGUUUAAAAGUAUGGCCUCAAUUGCCGAGCUGAGAUUACGAGGGUCCAUACAAAAUUUUUCAUGAUGGGAUAGCUUUGAUGUGCUUCUAUUAUAUUCUUAUUAACAUAAUAGAUUGGUCAUUGUCUAUUUUCCUCUUCCUUGAUGAGUACUGAGCUGAUUGCGUCCUUGCUCACUCAGGUACAACAAUAAGUCCUCGCCUUAUUUUGGACUUUGAAAUAGAGGCGGCGGGGAGAGGUGCUUUAGUUGUGGAAAGGUUUCCUCAAAUUCCUCGCUCUAUAUAAACUUUUUAGCCUUCCUCAGCUCUUUGAAGAAGGGCAAAUAUUUUUCUCCUAGCCUGGAAAAGAAAUGAAACUCUCCUAGUGAGUCGGCAUACUUAAUUGACAGCCAUAGGUGACAUCUCCAAGAUUUCUUUUACCUUGUUUGGGUUAACAUUGAUGCUUCAAGUGUGAGGAGGAAGCAUAUGAACUUGGCCAAGUCUGCCCCAAAAGUAUGUUUUAGUGGAUUUAGUCACAUAUUAUACAUUUAUAAUGUGACUUGCAUCUCCUUCAAAUUCUAAUGUGUUGCUUAGGAAACUAACUUUUAACGAAUAGGUAGUCUACAUACCCUUCGACGUUCUAGACAUUAUGCUCUUUGAAGAUGCAGUCCAUCAUUCUUUGAUAGGUCGCUCCUACAUUUUUCAAUCUAAACGACAUCACUUUAUAGUAGUAUAGUCCUUCUCAUAUGAUGAAGCACACUUCUUGUAGUCUUCUAGAUGCCUUUUUAUUUGAUAGUAGCUAGAAAAUGUAUUUAAGAAACUCAUCAUAGAGAAUUUGAUCGUUGAGUCAACUAGUGAAUUGAUUAGGGGGAGUGGAUAGUCAUCCUUUGGUCAUCCAAGUUGAGAUUGGGGAAGUCGAAGAAUAUCCUCCAUAUUCUAGUUUCCUUUUGCACCAUCACUACUUCAAAAUCCAUAUAUCUCUUUAAUAAAGUCAACGCUGAGUAGAUUCUUUAGUUCUUUAUUAAUUUGCUCGAUGGCAUAGCUAUAAUCUUCCUAAUUUUCUACUUAAUGAGCUUGACAUCUCUUCUCACAUUGAGUUUAUGGCAGAUGAUUUUUGAUGAAUGCCAAGCAUCUCGAUUUCCAUCCAUGCAAAGAUAUCGAGGUUGGCCUUAAGGGUUUGUAUGAGUUUGCACCAUGUUUCGAACUAAAGGUGGUGCUUAUCCUUAGUGUUCUUUCAGACUCAUCUUUUAUGGUUGAGACCUCCAUUACCUUUGUAGUCUCUAGUCUCAGUAAAAGUAUGAGACUACAUGAGGUUUCCACUUUCUCCAUUGUUCUCAUUUAAUAAGUGUGAGAUUGCGGAGGUCGCCUCUCAAGAGGAUCUUCUUAUCGUCAAUUGAGAAUUUUUCCAUCACGUGAAAGUAUUCAAGUGAUGCUUCCCAAAGAUGGCAUUGUAUGUGGUUGGGGCAUCCACGAUGAAGUUUUCCAUGGUCGUAUCUUGCUAAUCACCUUUGUCCCAUGUGACAGGUAGGUAGAGUAGCUCUAUUUCUUGGCACUGUCCUCAUAAACCAUAUAGAGGGCUUGGAGUGGGGGUUUGCUAGAAGAUUAGUAGAUUCAUUUUAUAAAAAUUUGAUUUUAAAAUGAUGUUGACAGAACUCCAUGUAUCAAUGAUUCAAUUAAUAUAUUUUCUAUUUCAUAGUUGGCGACUAGGGUAUUGACAACCACCAUGUCGUUGUAGGUUUUCCAUCCAGAAGGCCUUUGUGCUUUUCAAGUGGAUGCAGGUUGACCUUUCCCACUUGAAGCCUCUUGGUUGUUGAGGAUGACUCAACUCGAUCCGUAUUCAUGUUAGAGUGCAUCACUCUGGUUAUAUGAAUGGAGUGAGUGAGGUCGGGCUCAUUCCCAUUGCUCUCUAUUGGGGCUUCCCUAGGGUGUUGACUAGGGUCGUUGAGUAUGAACUCCUUUUAACUUUCUAACUUUUUAGAAAUCUUCAACUAGUCCAUGAAGUUGGUUGCACUCCUCUGUCAUAUUUGUGAUCUUUGAUGAAAGUGUAGUACCUUAAUGUGCCCUUGACGUGCACAUUCUCCUUUAUGAGCAUUGGGCCCUUGAAAAACUUAUUGUUUUAGAUGGCAUCUACUUACUCAACCAUUGAUACUCACAAGAGAUUGAUUGGACGUAUGGAAUAUAGCUUAUUUGUAGGGGCAAGUGGCGUGAGGAUGCUUUUCCAACCUCGACACUAGCGGUCUAGUGAUCUUGAGGGUAUUAAACUACAAAGGCAGUCUUUGGUGAUUUGGAGUAUUAUGAUCUCGCACCAUUUUUAGUUUCCUAUCUACUUUUGAUAUUUUGGGAGACUUCUUUAUCACUACCUUCUUCGCUAUCAAACUCUUUUUGACAGGCUCUUGUGGUUGAGCAGAUAAAAAACACUCAAUCACAUUGUUAUACUCUUUUAUAUUGGUGUGGUUGUUGAUGAGCUUAAGUAAUUCAGCCAACAUCCUUGGCUAUUAUAGUCCAAGUGUAUAACGAAAUGAACAUUGCCUUAAACCUUGUGUCAAAGUAGCUAGGGUGAUGGUAGAUUCUAUGUCUUUCUCCUUAAUUAUUGACUUUUGGAAUCAUACAAUGAAACUUCUCAGUGACUUGCCAGGUUCAUGUCACAUAUUGAGUAGAGCUUAUGAGCUCUUUGAGUCUACUAGGCACUCACAAAUUGGGUUACAAAUAUUCUCCUGAACCCAGUAAAAAACGUGAUCACUCCCACAGACAGGCGAGUGAAUCUCCAAUGUUUUUGACUCUUUGAGAGUCACAAUGAAUAAUGGAAUUUUGAAGUAUUAUUGAUGUCCAACAAUGACAUCCUGGCCUCAAAAGUUGCCACAUGUUCUUGUCGCAUCUUGUGGAAAGCUUAGGAGCACUUUUAAGGCUACUUGGCACUCACUAAUUGGGUUACAAAUAUUCACUUAAACUCUGAAAAAAAGGUGAUCACUUUCAUAGGUAGGUAAGUGAAUCUCCUGAUUGCUAACUCGUUGAGAGUCAUAAAGAAAAGUGGCAUUUUAAGGCAUUAUUGAUGUCCAAUAAUGGUGACUUUUCUUAAAAAUAACCACAUGGUUUGCUAGGUCAGUUUGCUCCUUGUAAGACUCUAGAAGAGGCAUCUUGAAUUUUUAAUGUGGUCUCUCCUAUGCUUUAUGGAAAAAAAUAUUCGUUAGUUCAGGCUCUAUCCUUGUGGGCUGAGGUGGUUGGUUAUAUUUGUAUCACUCGUCAUAGUGCGAUUGAGAUCUAGAUUGGGUGUCGAAGUCAGCACUCUUCUUUACAGCCUCCUAUGGUGAACAAUCAAGUCAGAGGAUCCUUUAGGGGUGCUCUCUCUUGGUACAUGCAUUGGUAGCCCUACUAGGCAUCUUGAAUCAUCUUUGUCAACAUUUAUUAUUUCUACGUAAGAUCAAAGCGACUUGUGUAAUUCUGGUUUUUCAGGUUCAUAUUUAAGGUUGGCUUGUUCAUUAAGAUGUGCUCGUCUUGUAGACAUUGACAUCAAUCCACGUACAUUGCACCUUUCAGGAUGUUGGAUCUACAAACCCUACUUUACUAGCAGGAAAAUCUAAGAAAACUAGGACCCGAAAACCUAUGGUGAAUAUGAAAAACAAGAAGUUCUGAGGGAAAGUAUAUCACUAGCUCAAUAGUCUCUUUAGAUAGUACUAAAAGAUUUAAAAUAUGCAUUUUUAUUUUUUGUUUAUUUGAUUUUGUUUGCUAUGUGAAAGACUGUAUGAAAAAAGAAGAAUAUGUACCAUACUAAAUUUCAUAUUAUGGUCUGCUCUAGUCACUAUGAUGUUCUAAGCCGUAUGAAUAGUUGCAUCUUUCUGGUUCAAGUUCUCAUCCUUUGAGCGAGUCCCUUAGUGCAAAGUAUUUACGAGUGAGUGGAUAGAGGCGAGUUUGUUGAUGGUUUAGAUUGAAGGAUUGUUGUUGAUGAGUCUUUGGUGGAACUGAUGACCCCUUCGAUGGAGUCCAUGAACCUCUUCAAUGUGGAGGGCAAGUUUGCUUAAAUUGCAGGGGUAAUGAACUACAUGGUCGGCUAAUUGUGAUGAGGUGAGCUUGAAUCCACUCAGUUAGAUCCUUCCUUGUAGCUGAGGUGACGAUAGGUAGCCUUGAGGGUAUACUUCUCCUUGGAGGGAGAGCUCUGAUCUAAGUGGUCUAUGUGAACCCUUGAUGUUUCCUUCGGAGGUGAAUCCCAUUAGACCAUUUUGCCGAAGAGGGUUAGUGACCUUUAGGAGAAUCUUCAUUGCCAAGGUUCAUGAGUUACGAGUUCACCUGUUGUAACUUGUCAAACUACCUGCUAAACUGUUGAGAAGGCUUGUAUAAAUGCUAUGAGAAAUUUCCUUGACUUUGUACUACAUACAGCAGGCCAAAGCACAUAAUUUGGUUGAACUUAAUGGUAGAAGAGAUCUCAAAGGAAAUCCUUCUUCGCAGCAUCAUCCAAGUAACUGGGUUGGUGCAGGUGAUGACGAUGAUGAUGAAGAUGAGGAUGAGGAUGAGCUAUAUGUGCAGUCAACACCUAAAUGAAAAUAUUCAAAUGGAUGUUUUAUUGCUUUUUAUGUUUCUGAACUGUUGGGUUGCUAUAAUUCUGCGAAUCUUUUGUCAUCUCAAUUUAUGUCUUUAGGCUUCUUCAUUUAUAAUAAAAAUUGUAGUGGCAUGUACUCAAGUUCUGGUCUGCGUCAUUCAUUCUGAAAGUUCAUUAUAAUAUUGUGAGUAAAAUGAUGUAUGUAAUGAAUGGCGCUCAUGGUUUUUGGAAAGCAGAUUAUAUCAUCUC